rnacentral:rRNA from 2 species
GAUAGCGUUAUAGCUCA